ACUUUUAAAGGAUAGCAGUAAUCCACUGGUCUUAGGAGCCAUUAACCUUGGUGCAUCUAACUAAAGUAUGGAAGCG
rnacentral:tRNA from 1 species